rnacentral:rRNA from 1 species
AUGAACGCUGGCGGCGUGCCUAAUACAUGCAAGUCGAGCGAACGGACGAGAAGCUUGCUUCUCUGAUGUUAGCGGCGGACGGGUGAGUAACACGUGGAUAACCUACCUAUAAGGCUGGGAUAACUUCGGGAAACCGGAGCUAAUACCGGAUGAUAUUUUGAACCGCAUGGUUCAAAAGUGAAAGACGGUCUUGCUGUCACUUAUAGAUGGAUCCGCGCUGCAUUAGCUAGUUGGUAAGGUAACGGCUUACCAAGGCAACGAAGCAUAGCCGACCUGAGAGGGUGAUCGGCCACACUGGAACUGAGACACGGUCCAGACUCCUACGGGAGGCAGCAGUAGGGAAUCUUCCGCAAUGGGCGAAAGCCUGACGGAGCAACGCCGCGUGAGUGAUGAAGGUCUUCGGAUCGUAAAACUCUGUUAUUAGGGAAGAACAUAUGUGUAAGUAACUGUGCACAUCUUGACGGUACCUAAUCAGAAAGCCACGGCUAACUACGUG